rnacentral:lncRNA from 1 species
UAGAACUCAGCUGAUUACCCUGACAAGGCCCAAUAACCAUUGCUCUGACACAUCUUCUUCCCUGCAGGCCUCCUCGCUGACAGAAUGGCUCAAGAAGGUCCUCACAGCUGUUUAUGUACCUUCUGUUCAAGAUGCCCUCCGUGUGUCGGUUCCACUGCCCAACGUCCUGAACACCAACCUCAGGAACGCUGCAGUUGCCAUCACUGAUGAGGAUGAGUUUUCUGGCCAGAGCACUCUGGGAAGAUCCUGCUCGGGGGGAACCUCGUUGCUGCUCCCUUUCUGAGGCAGCACAUGCACCCCAAGCCCUGCUCUGCUCCACUCUCUCCCUCUUCCUUUCUCUCCAGUGCUGCUCUGUGCUGUGGCUGUGGCCUGAGCAGGACAGGCAGCAGCCUCUGGCUUGGCUGGUGGAUGUUUGGGGGUUCCUGUGGCCCCUUUUAACAUCCACAGCCAGAAGGCAGACAACUCUUAGGCACAUAGGCUGCUCUCGUAUUGCUCUUUCAAUAAAAUCUCUCCCUGUCACAGUAUUUU